rnacentral:rRNA from 1 species
UCCCGGGCCUUGUACACACCGCCCGUCACACCACGAGAGUUUGUAACACCCGAAGUCGGUGGGGUAACCGUAAGGAGCCAGCCGCCUAAGGUGGGACAGAUGAUUGGGGUGAAGUCGUAACAAGGUAGCCGUAUCGGAAGGUGCGGCUGGAUCACCUCCUUUCUAAGGAA